AAUAGAUACCCCUGGUAGUCCACGCCGUAAACGAUGAGUGCUAGGUGUUGCGGGUAUCGACCCCUGCAGUGCCGUAGUUAACACAAUAAGCACUCCGCCUGGGGAGUACGGUCGCAAGACUGAAACUCAAAGGAAAUUGACGGGGGCCCGCACAAGCGGUGGAGUAUGUGGUUUAAUUCGACGCAACGCGAAGAACCUUACCAGGGCUUGACAUCCUCUGAAAGCCGUAGAGAUACGGUCCUUAGUCUUCGGACUAACAGAGAGACAGGUGGUGCAUGGUUGUCGUCAGCUCGUGUCGUGAGAUGUUGGGUUAAGUCCCGCAACGAGCGCAACCCCUAACAUUAGUUGCCAGCGAGGUAGGUCGGGAACUCUAAUGUGACUGCCGUUGACAAAACGGAGGAAGGUGGGGAUGACGUCAAAUCAUCAUGCCCCUUAUGUCCUGGGCUACACACGUACUACAAUGGCCGGUACAGACGGAGGCGAAGCUGUGAAGCGGAGCAAAACUGAGAAAGCCGGUCCAGUUCGGAUUGUAGUCUGCAACUCG
rnacentral:rRNA from 1 species